GACGAACGCUGGCGGCGUGCCUAAUACAUGCAAGUCGAGCGAAUCAAUAGGAGCUUGCUCCUGUUGGUUAGCGGCGGACGGGUGAGUAACACGUGGGCCACCUGCCUGUAAGACUGGGAUAACACCGGGAAACCGGUGCUAAUACCGGAUAAUCCUUUUCCUCUCAUGAGGAAAAGCUGAAAGUCGGUUUCGACUGACACUUACAGAUGGGCCCGCGGCGCAUUAGCUGGUUGGUGAGGUAAUGGCUCACCAAGGCGACGAUGCGUAGCCGACCUGAGAGGGUGAUCGGCCACACUGGGACUGAGACACGGCCCAGACUCCUACGGGAGGCAGCAGUAGGGAAUCUUCCACAAUGGACGAAAGUCUGAUGGAGCAACGCCGCGUGAGCGAUGAAGGCCUUCGGGUCGUAAAGCUCUGUUGUUAGGGAAGAACAAGUACCGGAGUAACUGCCGGUACCUUGACGGUACCUAACCAGAAAGCCACGGCUAACUCCGUGCCAGCCGCCGCUGUAA
rnacentral:rRNA from 1 species